rnacentral:rRNA from 1 species
CCUUCUUUUCCUCUCUUUUUCCUUCUUUCUUGGUCGUAAAGCGCGUGUAGGCGGCCAGGUAGGUCCGUUGUGAAAACUCGAGGCUCAACCUCGAGACGUCGACGGAAACCAUCUGGCUAGAGUCCGGAAGAGGAGAGUGGAAUUCCUGGUGUAGCGGUGAAAUGCGCAGAUAUCAGGAAGAACACCCGUGGCGAAGGCGGCUCUCUGGGACGGUACUGACGCUGAGACGCGAAAGCGUGGGGAGCGAACAGGA